UACCAGCACCCCGAGUGGUCGGGACGAUUAUUGGGCCUAAAGCAUCCGUAGCCGGUUUUACAAGUCCUCCGUUAAAUCCAGCUGCUUAACAGAUGGGCUGCGGAGGAUACUAUAAGACUAGGAGGCAGGAGAGGCAAGCGGUACUCAGUGGGUAGGGGUAAAAUCCGUUGAUCCAUUGAAGACCACCAGUGGCGAAGGCGGCUUGCCAGAAUGCGCUCGACGGUGAGGGAGUGAAAGCUGGGGGAAG
rnacentral:rRNA from 1 species